GGGGAUUAGCUCAGCUGGGAGAGCGCCUGCUUUGCACGCAGGAGGUCAGCGGUUCGAUCCCGCUAGUCUCCACCA
rnacentral:tRNA from 1 species